AUUGAACGCUGGCGGCAGGCCUAACACAUGCAAGUCGAACGAGUGGCGGACGGGUGAGUAAUGUAUGGGAAACUGCCCGAUGGGGGGGGAUAACUACUGGAAAGGGUAGCUAAUACCGCAUACUAUUGAAGGUGCCAAGCUGGGAUUGGCUAGUGGGUGGGGUAAAGGCUCACCAAGGCAACGAUCCCUAGCUGGUCUGAGAGGAGGACCAGCCACACGGGAACUGAGACACGGUCCAGACUCCUACGGGAGGCAGCAGUGGGGAAUAUUGCACAAUGGGGGCAAGCCUGAUGCAGCCAUGCCGCGUGUAUGAAGAAGGCCUUCGGGUUGUAAAGUACUUUCAGCAGGGAGGCGUUACCCGCAGAAGAAGCACCGGCUAACUCCGUGCCAGCAGCCGCGGUAAUUC
rnacentral:rRNA from 1 species